rnacentral:lncRNA from 1 species
UGGUUACCCGUCGCUGUAAAUGGUCACAACAUCCAGUUUCUCCUCAUCUCCAUGAUCUCGCUGUCUUCCAGCUUCCACUCAUGCCCCUCGCAUUCAUUAUCCGUCUGCAGCCACAGGACAGAUAAUUAUCCAAACAAAAAAAAUGCAGGAAAUAUUCUGGAUCCCCGAGCAGUCUUCUCAACUGGUACGAGGAAAAGUCAAGAAAAGCCCCUUUGAGAAGGUCUCCCUGGAAGACAGGCCCAUGAAGAGCUGAAGAAAGAAGUGGGAGGACAGAGGAGAACUCACACAAGGUAUUUGGAGGAGGAAGAAUUCAGAUUGGAAAAUAAAAAUAAGGUGGGAGAGAAGCUGGGGAGGGGUGGGAAGAAAAUAGAGGAAAGAGGAAGAAGACCAAGAAGGAAGAAAACGGACAUGAAGUGGUUGCCUUCUUAUGAACUCCCUGCAAGGGAAACAGAGCCCAGAGGCAAUAGCCUAGUUUUCAAGAGACUCCAUGGUCUCCUAAGUCUUAUCCAGUGUGCUUUACCCUCCAGACCAGGCUGGAAUCUGAGCUUGGGAUCCUCUCCUGCUCAAAAGCCUUCCAUGACUCCCUUUGGCUGCCAUAUUUAGUCUCAGCUCAUUGGCCACUCUUUCAAGGACCUUCAUCCUUGAAGCAUAAUUCAUUUCUCUUGCCCAAAAUCAUCCCCUCCUCUCUAGGCCAGCAUGAGCUCUGUGUAUUCCUCCCUUAAGAUGCUCCUUUACCCAAUUUUCUUCCCUCCUUGCCUUUCAUAGCCAAUCUUCCCUAAAAUAUAAGGCCCAAACACUAUGAACUUUUUUCAGGAGGCUCUCCCAGAUUCCACCCCAUGCUGACUCUUCCUUUCACUAGAUUCCUGUGGACACUGUUUCUCAUGGGUUUACUGGGCCUUUUCACCUAGUUGGGAGUCCCGGGAGGAUAGGGUGCUCCUCCCAUGGCAUGACUGAGCACAGAACUUGUUCACAGCAGAUACUUAUUCAAGUAUGAGGCUGCUAGUUUCUCAAACACAUUGAUUCUGCCACUGCUCUGAGCAACUAGACCUCUCUCCAGGAAUCAGCAAUGAGUUGCCUUGAAGAAACACCCCAGAGAGUCUCAUUUCAAAAAGUCACUGACUUUGCCACCAAAUUUGUCCCUGAAGUGACUGUAAUGAUUAAUUGUGUGUUAAUUUGGCUGGGUGAUGGUGCCUAGAUAUGUGGUCAUACUUAAUUCUGGAUGUUUCUGUGAGGGUGUUUUUGGAUGAGAUGAACAUUUGAAUCGGCAGACUUUGAGUAAAGCAGAUUGCUCUUCAUAAUGUGAGUGGGCCUUAUCCAAUCAGUUGAAGGCCUGAAUAGAAUAAAAAACCAGUUCGCCCUGGCAAGAAGCAAUUCUGUAGCCAACCGAACUUUGGAUUUGAACUGCAGCAUCUGUCCUUCCGGGGUCUCCAGCCUGUUGGCCCACCUUGCAGAGUCUGGAUUUGCCACCUUCUAAAAUCACAUGAGCCAACUGCCUAAAGUAAAUCUCUCUCUCUCUCCCUCUCUCCACUGUGGAGUCCCCAUUGUGGAGAGUCAUACACCUUACCACAGGCAGGAAAUCAAGGUGGUUAGCAGGAAAAUGAGACCCAGGUGCCCAAAACACUGAGCAGAAGGGAGCAAGGCCUGUAACUCCAAAGUUUAGAAUGAAGAGGUUAGAGAAGGAAAGCAGGAGAUGGGACAGAAUGCACAGAACAGCAUAUGGGACCUGGACUUUGAACGAUGGGUAGAAUUUUGAUCAGGGUUAAGGGAAAUAUGAUGAACACCUGCCAAUAGUAGACAUCCACAAUCUUUGAAUACCCUUUCUUCAUUUGACAUUAUCCACAUUGAGAGUCUCAGGUUCUCAAUGUAGAAUCCAACAAACUACAUUUCCUGGCCUCUCUUGCUACUAGGCAAAUAGUUAACUGUUUCCCCGAUCAGACAUACCCGUGUCCAACUUUGGUUUGAAAGUUAUCUGUGAGAGGAAACAGCAGUGCUUGCUUGGCCUACCUCUUUUGGUGGGUGAGGCGGCAGCAGAGGUGGGACGUUCCUGUGGCUGGUAGCGGCCACAACGCAGUUUCCUGACAGGCAGAGCAGAGGCCAUGCAGGUCUGGGAUCUGUGGCACUGGAGCUUCCUUACGAGGCCAGUUCUGUGGUGUGGUUCUGGGAGUUAUUCCAAGCUCUGGGGCCCUAGUUUUCUCAUCUGUGAAAUGGAGACUGUUCUGCCUCCCUCCCACUGAGCUAGCAAAUGUGAUGGAGGCUGGAAGGCAAUCACGUGUGAGACAAAAACAGCAACAGCUGCUGCCGCUCAAAGGCAAGUCUGAAGAAAGAAAAUUGGAAUCAGAAAAGGGAAGAGUUUUUGAGGAAAACCUUUGGGAGGAAGCCUCUAGAAGGCCCAUAUUUCUUAUCCUAAAGCUCUACCCAAAUGGGGACAGGUGGGCAAAGGUUAGGGGUACGAGGAUAGAAGUUUCUUGGUGGUGAGUGGUCAAGGUGAGAAUGUCCUUACUGCUUUCCUGCCAACUCUCCUCACUGGCCUCUGCCCCUGAAAGACGCAGAGCAGAGAGAAGUCACAGUCGGUUACCUUGGGCAUUUCUGCCUUGAAUAAGGAGAAAUAGUCUUUGGUGCCAAUUAAUUAAGCAAACUGAUAGAAAUUCCCUGCUUAAGUCACACUUUGCAUAUCCACAAUCUCUGCACUACAUUUUCUGUAUACUUUACCCCUGGGUAAAAAUUGGUGAGUAUUUAAAUGCUUCCUCACAUAAUCUUGCUAAAGCACACUCUUGCCUAUAAAUAUUCAUGCCACUGCCAAAACAUUUGCAAGCUUUCCCCAAAGGUGAAAUGUGUGUAAUGUACUUUGUCUUCUGGGUAUAAAUAUUAUCCAAUACAUUUUGGUUAAUAUGAAUACACUAAUUAUUCCUGCAACCCUUUUAAAAAGGGUCAUCUUCAUGAUGUGAAUUUUUUAAAAAUGUAAUUACAAUAAUUGGAUACUUAAUCUAAUUAAAAUUUGCUUUAUCUUUAAUGGGAAUUUGUCUAAAGAGGCAGAAUGACAAUUGGCUUUUUGAUAAUGACUGUUUUCUUUCUUCAGGGGAUCAAGCUGGUGAAAACUGGAGAACCAGGCAGGUUUGUGUCUGCCAGUUCCCUGCUUACUGGGCAGAGCAAGGCCAGUCUCUCUUCUUCUUACAAUUCACUACUUAAGUAGCAAACAUGGGUUGUGGUUACUGGAAAAGGACUAGGGGAACCUUUUGUAUUCCAACAGAUGAAGCUGCUCCUCUUCCUAGGAAGCAGUCCUUUGUUCCCCUGGACCUGUGACUGAUCCACAGCAGGCAUGUGAUCUAAGCCUGAUAGAUCAGGUCCCUCGCUGGGCUUGCUGCAGCUGGAGAAGAAGCAGCUCCAUGCUGCUUUGGGGGGGGCAUGGUGCUGGAAGGAGUUGUAGUGGAUGGUAUAGGUGCUCCACUCAUAUCCCAUUGGUUCACCCUUGAGGUCAUCUUCAGACAGUCCCUGCACACAAACUGAGCUCCUAUGUCUCUCUGCAUAAAGCUGCUUCUCUGGCCUGGGGAGCAAGCUAGGGAGAGUUACCACUCCCAGAGCAACUCUUAAACAAUGAAGGAGAGGAGCUGGCAGAUAAACACCUCAGCUUCCUUGUUCUUCAGGGGCUCAAUUCUGAGUGGUGCUCCACACAUUCUUUUUGAGGCAUCCCAGUAGGAUUGAGAUCUACUUGCUCCAGCUGUAACCCACUCACCGAGACACCCGUUUGGGGUUUCCGCCCCUUCUUUGUCUCACUUACCUGCUCUCUCAUUUUGCUUCUGGUGUCAUCUUCCAAAUAAAGUGGUACACCCAGCCUGUGGAAGACUUCAUCUUGGCAGAGGGAAAAGGCUUCCAAGAAUCUUCCAGUUAUGCAAAGGCAAGGCCCAGCGGUACAUCUGGACAGAGUAGGGAUUGAGACAAGGAUGAAGGGGCUUUUCCGAAUAAAGUUGUGUUUUCCUUUGAUGAAAAGUUGUUGUGUGGUAAAAUUUGGGACUUCCUCUGGUGGCCCAGAGAUGGGAAUUUGACAGCCUGGGGACUGAAGAAGAGAGGACAGGGUUUAAAG